GCCCUUAGAGUUUGAUCCUGGCUCAGAACGAACGCUGGCGGCAGGCUUAACACAUGCAAGUCGAGCGAAGCCUUCGGGCUUAGCGGCGGACGGGUGAGUAACGCGUGGGAACGUGCCCCUUGGUGCGGAAUAGUCCCUGGAAACGGGGUUUAAUACCGUAUGAGCUCUUCGGAGGAAAGAUUUAUCGCCAAGGGAUCGGCCCGCGUUGGAUUAGGUAGUUGGUGGGGUAAUGGCCUACCAAGCCGACGAUCCAUAGCUGGUUUGAGAGGAUGAUCAGCCACACUGGGACUGAGACACGGCCCAGACUCCUACGGGAGGCAGCCGUGGGGAAUCUUAGACAAUGGGGGAAACCCUGAUCUAGCCAUGCCGCGUGAUUGAUGAAGGCCUUAGGGUUGUAAAGAUCUUUCGCUGGGGAAGAUAAUGACGGUACCCAGUAAAGAAGCCCCGGCUAACUCCGUGCCAGCAGCCGCGGUAAUACGGAGGGGGCUAGCGUUGUUCGGAAUUACUGGGCGUAAAGCGCGCGUAGGCGGACUGGAAAGUUGGGGGUGAAAUCCCGGGGCUCAACCCCGGAACUGCCUCCAAAACUGUCAGUCUGGAGUUCGAGAGAGGUGAGUGGAAUUGCGAGUGUAGAGGUGAAAUUCGUAGAUAUUC
rnacentral:rRNA from 1 species